CUACUUUGCUGACGAGCGGCGGACGGGUGAGUAAUGCUUGGGAACAUGCCUUGAGGUGGGGGACAACAGUUGGAAACGACUGCUAAUACCGCAUAAUGUCUACGGACCAAGGGGGGCUUCGGCUCUCGCCUUUAGAUUGGCCCAAGUGGGAUUAGCUAGUUGGUGAGGUAAUGGCUCACCAAGGCAACGAUCCCUAGCUGGUUUGAGAGGAUGAUCAGCCACACUGGGACUGAGACACGGCCCACACUCCUACGGGAGGCAGCAGUGGGGAAUAUUGCACAAUGGGCGCAAGCCUGAUGCACCCAUGCCGCGUGUGUGAAGAAGGCCUUCGGGUUGUAAAGCACUUUCAGUCAGGAGGAAAGGUUAGUAGUUAAUACCUGCUAGCUGUGACGUUACUGACAGAAGAAGCACCGGCUAACUCCGUGCCAGCAGCCGCGGUAAUACGGAGGGUGCGAGCGUUAAUCGGAAUUACUGGGCGUAAAGCGUACGCAGGCGGUUUGUUAAGCGAGAUGUGAAAGCCCCGGGCUCAACCUGGGAACUGCAUUUCAAACUGGCAAACUAGAGUGUGAUAGAGGGUGGUAGAAUUUCAGGUGUAGCGG
rnacentral:rRNA from 1 species